AUUGAACGCUGGCGGCAGGCUUAACACAUGCAAGUCGAGCGGAGAUGAGGUGCUUGCACCUUAUCUUAGCGGCGGACGGGUGAGUAAUGCUUAGGAAUCUGCCAUUUCGUGGGGGACAACAUUCCGAAAGGAAUGCUAAUACCGCAUACGUCCUACGGGAGAAAGCAGGGGAUCUUCGGACCUUGCGCUAAAUGAUGAGCCUUAGUCGGAUUAGCUAGUUGGUGGGGUAAAGGCCUACCAAGGCGACGAGCUGUAGCGGGUCUGAGAGGAUGAUCCGCCACACUGGGACUGAGACACGGCCCAGACUCCUACGGGAGGCAGCAGUGGGGAAUAUUGGACAAUGGGCGGAAGCCUGAUCCAGCCAUGCCGCGUGUGUGAAGAAGGCCUUUUGGUUGUAAAGCACUUUAAGCGAGGAGGAGGCUACUAGUACUAAUACUACUGGAUAGUGGACGUUACUCGCAGAAUAAGCACCGGCUAACUCUGUGCCAGCCGCCGCAGUAAGAC
rnacentral:rRNA from 1 species